rnacentral:rRNA from 1 species
GAGUGGCGAACGGGUGAGUAACACGUGGGUAACCUGCCCAUCAGAAGGGGAUAACACUUGGAAACAGGUGCUAAUACCGUAUAACAAUCGAAACCGCAUGGUUUUGAUUUGAAAGGCGCUUUCGGGUGUCGCUGAUGGAUGGACCCGCGGUGCAUUAGCUAGUUGGUGAGGUAACGGCUCACCAAGGCCACGAUGCAUAGCCGACCUGAGAGGGUGAUCGGCCACAUUGGGACUGAGACACGGCCCAAACUCCUACGGGAGGCAGCAGUGGGGAAUAUUGCACAAUGGGGGAAACCCUGAUGCAGCGACGCCGCGUGAGCGAAGAAGUAUUUCGGUAUGUAAAGCUCUAUCAGCAGGGAAGAAGAAUGACGGUACCUGACUAAGAAGCACCGGCUAAAUACGUGCCAGCAGCCGCGGUAAUACGUAUGGUGCAAGCGUUAUCCGGAUCUACUGGGUGUAAAGGGAGCGCAGGCGGUGCGGCAAGUCUGAUGUGAAAGCCCGGGGCUCAACCCCGGUACUGCAUUGGAAACUGUCGUACUAGAGUGUCGGAGGGGUAAGCGGAAUUCCUAGUGUAGCGGUGAAAUGCGUAGAUAUUAGGAAGAACACCAGUGGCGAAGGCGGCUUACUGGACGGUAACUGACGUUGAGGCUCGAAAGCGUGGGGAGCAAACAGG